UGGGAGGUCGUUCAACGGUAGGACACCACGCUCUGGACGUGGUUAUCGGGGUUCGAAUCCCUGCCUCCCAGCCA
rnacentral:tRNA from 1 species